rnacentral:rRNA from 1 species
GACGAACGCUGGCGGCGUGCUUAACACAUGCAAGUCGAGCGGUAAGGCCCUUUCGGGGGUACGACGAGCGGCGAACGGGUGAGUAACACGUGGGUGACCUGCCCUCAGCUCUGGGAGUAAGCCCGGGAAACGUAGGGUCUAAUACCGGAUAUGACUCCAUGACGCAUGUUGUGGGGUGGAAAGCCUUGUGCGGCUGAGGAUGGGCCCGGCGGCCUAUCAGCUUGUUGGUGGGGUGAUGGCCUACCAAGGCGACGACGGGUAGCCGGCCUGAGAGGGCGACCGGCCACACUGGGACUGAGACACGGCCC